rnacentral:lncRNA from 1 species
CGGGAAGUAGCACAAUCCUGGAAAUUAAUUGAUGAGUGAAAACUGGAGUGCGUGGCUGGAAAGAAGUACAUCUCCCAUAUGGCUUUUAGGACACUUUGCAGUAUGCGUCGACAAAGCAAAUGGACCAAAACAGAAAAGACAAAAAAGCAACCCUUUUUCUUGCAUAUCAAAAUCAGUGUGGCUUGGAACUUGGCACUCUAGGUAGCUGGAACCAAAGGGCGGUGUGAUGCUCUGGCUCUCGAAAAUAUUGCUAGUGAUGUUGCCACAGGUUAUUUUAUUGCUUGUCUGUCAAUGCUGAGAUUUUUUUUUUAUUGGCACCAAAGUUUAUUGCUUUUUUUUUUUUUCCUGUCAGUGAAAGAAAUCUGUGCUCUCUGAAGCAAAUUCAGAAUGUAUAGAAGAAUACGUUAAAAGGCAAUAUGUAAUAAUUCAUGUUGUUUUCUAAGUUACUUUAUAUCAUUAUUUUUCCAUUUCAUAAGGAAUUCUUUGAAAACAAUUUCUAAAGCCUGUAUAAUUUAUGACAACAGCACAGUAUGCCUAACUAUUUCCUUACCAUGAAGCCUUUAUCAUAUACAGAGUUCCAUUUUAAUGGGAAUAUUACUAUAAAUAACAAUGUGAUAAACAACCUGCAUGUGGAUCCUUGAGCAUAUUUCUCUUUACCUCAUUAGGAUAGUAUCCCCUAAUUGGCGGUACUAGGCCCAAAAUUAUAAAUCUGUUUUCAUAAUCUUGUUAUGUAUUUUCAUAGGGGCAAGAAUUAUGUGAUAGUUAUUCCUACCCGCAGUAUACACUGAGCGUAAGUGAAUUUCACUUUUAUAUUCUAUCAUACACUAUUAACUGGUAUUUUUUAAAAUCUUUGCCAAGUCAGUAGAUAUAAAGUAAUAAAAUUAGUUAUAAUUGGUAUAAUUCAAAUUACUAAAAACAUGACAUGUUCUCCUCGUACCCAGCUCAUUGAUUCUAAGCUUGUAUGUGCUUGGUUAAAUAAAC